GACGAACGCUGGCGGCGUGCUUAACACAUGCAAGUCGAACGGAAAGGCCCUGCUGUGGUGGUGUGCUCGAGUGGCGAACGGGGGAGUAACACGUGAGUAACCUGCCCUUGAAUUUGGGAUAACGUCAGGAAACUGGGGCGAAUACCGGAUAGGAGAUCCUGCUGCAUGGUGGGGGGUGGAAAAUUUCGGCGGUUGGGGCUGGACGCGCGGCUUAUCAGCUUGGUGGUGGGGUAGUGGCUUACCAAGGCUUUGACGGGUAGCCGACCUGAGAGGGUGACCGGCCACAUUGGGACUGAGAUACGGCGCAGACUCCUACGGGAGGCAGCAGUGGAGAAUAUUGCACAAUGGGCGGAAGCCUGAUGAAGCAACGCCGCGUGCGGGAUGCCGGCUUUCGGGUUGUAAACCGCUUUCGCAGGUGACGAAGGGUGAGUGACGGUAAUGGGUAAAGAAGCACCGGCUAACUACGUG
rnacentral:rRNA from 1 species